GUUUUCGUAGCUCAGCCGGGCGAACACCCGACUAUGGAACGGUAGAACUCGGGUUCGAGCCCUGGUGAAGGCA